rnacentral:rRNA from 1 species
CGCAUCUGUGCAUGCAGCAUAUCAAUAAGCGGAGGAAAAGAAACUAACAAGGAUUCCCCUAGUAACGGCGAGUGAAGCGGGAAGAGCUCAAAUUUGGAAUCUUCAAGGUUUUACCUUGACGAAUUGUAGUUUAAAGAAGUGUUUUCUGUUGAAGUUUUGGUAAAAGUUCUUUGGAAUAGGACAUCAUAGAGGGUGAGAAUCCCGUAUUUGACCAUUAUUUUCAGCUGUGUGAUACACUUUCAAAGAGUCGGAUUGUUUGGGAAUGCAGUCCAAAAUGGGUGGUAAAUUUCAUCUAAAGCUAAACUAUUGGCGAGAGACCGAUAGCGAACAGGCACCGUGAGGGAAAGAUGAAAAGAACUUUGAAAAGAGAGUUAAACAGUACGUGAAAUUGUCAAAAGGGAAGCGUUUGACACCAGUGUUGUUUUCUCGAAAAUCAAUUAAAAAGAGUUUGAUUUUGUUGUGUAUUGACCUUAACAGCUUGCAUUUCAAUUUUCUUGCUUUUUUUAAUGCACUUUUCGUUUAACAAGUCAACAUCAGUUUCUUUUGCUGUAGAAAGGUCAUUGGAAGGUGGCUUUCUUUUCGGAGAAAGUGUUUAUAGCCUUUGACUCCUGCAAUCGGAGAGACUGAGGUCUGCAGCGUAGAUCCUUCGGGGUUAGAUACAUUUGUGCUAAGUUAUAGCUUUUUAUAGACAACUUGUUGACUAUGAUUAGUCUUGUAGCUUACUCGCUUAUGCUAUUUUACCUACGCUUAGGAUGUUGAUGUGAUACUGCGAGCA